GAAGGUAUAGCUCAGUGGCAGAAUGUAUGCCUAGCCUGCAUGAGGGUCUGGGUUCAAUCCCCUGUACCUCCU
rnacentral:tRNA from 1 species